UACGUAGGGUGCGAGCGUUAAUCGGAAUUACUGGGCGUAAAGCGUGCGCAGGCGGUUCGUUGUGUCUGAUGUGAAAGCCCCGGGCUCAACUUGGGAACGGCAUUGGAAACUGGCGAGCUAGAGUGUGGCAGAGGGGGGUGGAAUUCCGCGUGUAGCAGUGAAAUGCGUAGAUAUGCGGAGGAACACCGAUGGCGAAGGCAAUCCCCUGGGCCUGCACUGACGCUCAUGCACGAAAGCGUGGGGAGCAAACAGG
rnacentral:rRNA from 1 species